rnacentral:lncRNA from 1 species
GUGACGUGGGCGUGGCUCCCCACCAAUGACAGACUCUCAUUGGUGUCGCUCAGCAAUCUCCCAGAAUGCCCAGUCCAUUUGUAGCACUCUAGUGAGACUACAGGUCCCAGGAGCCCCCGCAGAAAAACCUGAAGUAUCGUUAUUGGGCCGCACUGCAAUGUCUGCGGGCCAGUGGCGCAAUGGAUAACGCGUCUGACUACGGAUCAGAAGAUUCCAGCUGCUCGAUUCGAGGAAAAGGAAAUGACAGAGCAAGGAAAGACCUAGGAAGGAAAAUGGGAAACAUCUCUGAAGGCAACAAGCCCACAGAUGUUGAAGACCCUCCAGCCAAUCUGAUGGAGGUGAGGUGUUUUCUCAGCUGAAGUUCCCUCUUCCCAAAUGACUCGCCUUGUAUCAGAUUGAUUUAAAAAAAC